rnacentral:rRNA from 1 species
UACAGAGGUCUCAAGCGUUGUUCGGAUUCAUUGGGCGUAAAGGGUGCGUAGGCGGCGCGGUAAGUCGGGUGUGAAAUCUCGGGGCUUAACUCCGAAACUGCAUUCGAUACUGCCGUGCUUGAGGACUGGAGAGGAGACUGGAAUUCCUGGUGUAGCGGUGAAAUGCGCAGAUAUCAGGAGGAACACCGGUGGCGAAGGCGGGUCUCUGGGCCGAUACUGACGCUGAGGAGCGAAAGCGUGGGGAGCGAACAUG